UACGAAGGAUCCAAGCGUUAUCCGGAUUUAUUGGGUUUAAAGGGUGCGUAGGCGGACUAUUAAGUCAGUGGUGAAAGCCUGCAGCUUAACUGCAGAACUGCCAUUGAUACUGAUGGUCUUGAGUACAUUUGAGGUGGGCGGAAUGUGUCAUGUAGUGGUGAAAUACUUAGAUAUGACACAGAACUCCGAUUGCGAAGGCAGCUCACUAAACUGUAACUGACGCUGAGGCACGAAAGCGUGGGGAUCAAACAGGAUUAGAUACCCUGGUAGUCCACGCCCUAAACGAUGAUUACUCGAUGUGUGCGAUACACUGUACGCGUCUGAGCGAAAGCAUUAAGUAAUCCACCUGGGGAGUACGGCCGCAAGGCUGAA
rnacentral:rRNA from 1 species